GGUAGGAUGGCCGAGUGAGGCGGUGAGCUGUAGACUCACCUACGGAGGUGAGAGUCCUCCUACUG